UUACGUUUACCUGAAAAUACAUACACUUCGUAAAAAAUACCGUUUAAAGACUUGUACUCACUAUUCUAGGACUCUGUUCAAAUUUUCCAUCAGAGUUUAGUGUUGUGAACACAAGACGUACUUUGAUCAAGUAUGAGUAUGAUGAAUUACGUGAGAAUUUGCCUUUAUCAUUCAACACUUUAAAGGAGCUGUUGUUGGAGGAAUCAUUGGAGUUGCUGCUGAAACUUUCGACACCAGUUGAUGGUGCAGUUGAUGGAGGCGCUAUUUAUGGCUUCCUACCAAGAAAAUUAUCCAUGAUCUAUUAAAUAUAUAAUUCUAUCCAUGAAACAGUUAAAAUAACAUUAAGGCCGAUAUUCAUACUCGUAUCUCAUAUGUAAGACCGUCUUAAGUUCAUCUUCAGGUGCUCUAUGGUUCAUUUUAUUGACUACGAAACAUCUGAAGAUGAAUUUAACACUUUUGCUGCCGAUCCCGCGCCAGUGCGUGGUAUGGCGUCAAUGAUACAGAGCCAAUCACGCGCUAGCGCGGGUUGUGAGAUGAUAUAUCAGUAGCCAGUCACUCGUUCGGCGGGGUACUAACUAUCAACACAUCCUCACGUGACCGGCAGCUAACGUGUUAAUCUAUUUGUGAAAACAGAAUUUGGGAGAGAUGAUGAAAUGUGGUUUCACAGUAUAUUUUUUGGACUUUAGGCGCACAAGAAUUGCAUUAACUGAAAUACCCCCAAUGUAUAUCAUUGCGAUGGAUGCAAAUCAAUAAAUAGUUGUCUAUUUUCUCAAGA